CAGCCGCCGCGGUAAUACGUAGGUGGCAAGCGAUGUCCGGAAUUAUUGGGCGUAAAGGGCUCGCAGGCGGUUUCUUAAGUCUGAUGUGAAAGCCCCCGGCUCAACCGGGGAGGGUCAUUGGAAACUGGGAAACUUGAGUGCAGAAGAGGAGAGUGGAAUUCCACGUGUAGCGGUGAAAUGCGUAGAGAUGUGGAGGAACACCAGUGGCGAAGGCGACUCUCUGGUCUGUAACUGACGCUGAGGAGCGAAAGCGUGGGGAGCGAACAGGAUUAGAUACCCCUGUAGUCCCUGUCUCUUAUAC
rnacentral:rRNA from 1 species